rnacentral:tRNA from 1 species
GCCGAAGUGGCGGAACUGGCAGACGCGCCACGUUCAGGGCGUGGUGGGCUUAUGUCCAUGUGGGUUCAAAUCCCACCUUCGGCA